rnacentral:lncRNA from 10 species
ACCCAGCCUGGAUUUAAACUCUUGGGAGGAGCUAGAAGGCAGAGAGAAAGCCACUCAGGACUUCCCAUCCCAGAAGAUAAAGGUGAGGAAAGCAGCAGCAGCAGCCACAGGCCAGUAUUCCAGAGCAGCUUUGGGUUCCUGUCAAGACCUGCUUUGAGAAGGAGGUGGCUGUGGGGCUGGAGGGCUGGGCCUGUUCCUGAGCUGGCUGCUGGCAGCACAGCAAUGAGGCAACAUUGAGAACUGCGACACGAGGCCCAGUCCUGCUACUAAACCAACUGUGUGGACUUGCAUAGUCACUUCACCCCUCGGGCCUCCAUUUCUCCACUUUGGAAAGCAGUGUUGGGACGAUGUUAAGGGUUUGCAACCUUCCAACAUGAAGACUUAUUUUUAAAAGCAAAACAUUUCAAAGAGUCCACAUGACAGUAGUGUUCAUUUUGGCAUCUGUUGAUUUAACAAAUACAAAAUUAGGCUGGGUGUAGUUGCUAACGCCUGUAAUUCCAGCACUUUGGGAGACCGAGGCAGGAGGAUCACCUGAAAUCAGGAGUUCGAGACCAGCCUGGCCAACAUGGUGGAACUCCAUCACUACCAAAAAUACAAAAAUUAGCUGGGCUUGGUGGCACGUGCCUGUAAUCCCAGCUACUCGGGAGGCUGAGGCAGGAGAAUCAUUUGAACCCGGGAGGCAGAGGUUGCAGUGACCUGAGAUUGCACCACUGUACUCCAGCCUGGGCAACAGGGCAAGACUCCAUUAAAAAAAAAAAUACAAAAUUAGGCAUGGUGGUGUUCGUCUGUAGUCCCAUCUAUUUGAGAGGUUAAGGCGGGAGGAUCACUUGAGCUCAGGAGUUUGAGUUUGCAGUGAGCUGUGGUCUGCCUGUGAAUAGCUGCUGCAGUACAGCUUGGGCAACAUAGUGAGAUUCCAUCUCUAGUCUUUAAAAAAAGGAAAAAUACGGCCGGGCGCGGUGGCUCACACUUGUAAUCCUAGCACUUUGGGAGGUCGAGGAGAGAGGAUCACCUGAGGUCAGGAGUUCGAGACCAGCUUGGCCAACAUGGCGAAACCCAUCUCUACUAAA